AUUUAUACUGGUUCCUCUCACAAAACGAGAGUAGUCCAGUCCCCUUGCACUUCCAAGGGAGUUCACUAUAAUCACACAAGAUUACAAAAUACUCAAGCACACAAGCAAGAGACUUCACCACAAUGCUCAAGCACACAAGCAAGAGACUUCUCAAGUACAAAUGUAAUGAAAAAUAGAAUGAAUACAACAACUCUUAAUCAGAACCUAGAAGAACAAAUACUAAAUAUUUGAACUAAAAGUGCAACAACACAGUUCAGAGGUUCAGAGCUUGUAUGUGAAAUUCAGAGUUUGUUCGUGCGUGUUAAUAAUCCUUGAUUAUCUUUACAACUGAUUCCUUUAGUAUAUAUAUAUAACUAGAAAAGAGUCGUUGCAAAGAUGACCGUUGAAGUAGAUAACCUUUUGU
rnacentral:lncRNA from 1 species